rnacentral:rRNA from 1 species
AUGCUGGGAACGGACCUGUGUCCGAACAAUAUAUGGCACUAUUUUUCCUGGUGCUAUAGUUUCCUUCCAGAUGGGGAGAGGUUCUAUACCUUUGGCUUAGCUGCACUCUGUUGGGCUAUGUGGAAUUGCCAUAACAGAACCACCUUUGAGUUCAAGAAGUUGAGAUCUCCAUUUGAUGUAAUAUACGUUGCUUGUGGUUAUAUUACAUAUUGGGCAGUUCUGAUGAUGGGAGAAGACCGUGAAGCAAUGGAGCGGGGAUCUAAGAUGCUGAGAAUCAAUGCUUCGAACAUGAUGCGUAUCUGUGCGGCUCCGGGAGGGACGAACUGA